CCUUCGAUAGCUCUGUUGGUAGAGCGGAGGACUGUAGAUCCUUAGGUCGCUGGUUCGAAUCCGGCUCGAAGAA
rnacentral:tRNA from 1 species